rnacentral:rRNA from 1 species
AAGCGCUUGCAACCAGACUUGCACACUGUUGAUCAUCCGAGCUUCUGCCCGGUGCACUCAGCAGCGUUCAGGCCAGCAUCGGUUUUGGUGGGCGGAUAAAGGCCUUGGGAAUGUAGCUUCUUUCGGGGAGUGUUAUAGCCCUCGGUGCAAUGCCGCCUACCGGGACUGAGGACCGCGCUUCGGCGAGGAUGCUGGCGUAAUGGU